GGAGGCGGAGGAGAAGGAGGGGGCGACCGGGGCAGUGUCUCCGUCAGUCACCGCUGCUGUUUCAGCGUGGGGCUGGGCGGCUCCCGCGACGUGUGGAGGCAGGAGAGCGCUGAGUGCCGCAGAAUUCUGGGAAAUCCAGGGCCUUAAGCACUUUCCAAAAAGGAACGAUAUAAAGAAAGAAGUUCACUAGUCAUCAAAAGCAACAGGUUAGACCAGAAGAUAUUUCUGUUCUAUUUUGCAGGUGAAAAAGAUUGAGAAUAAUAAUGGCUGAAAGAUUUUCCCAAGGAUAUGGCAGAGCUUAUCUUCUGGCUCCUCUUCUUGUUCUCUUUCUACUUUGAAACCCUGGCUGUCUGACAGACCUUCAACCAGCCAGCUAGCCUGCCAGCUAAGUGGAUGUACACCUAGGCUAUCCAGAGCAAUGCACUAGUAAUUGCAUCCAAGCACGUCUUGUUGAGUAAAUCCACUAGAAAGUAAGUGGCAUGGAAAUCUGGAAAAAAGCAGCCUUCAAUCAGGUGCUUGGCUAACAGGCUAUAGUAGAAGAGAAGAAAGGCAUCAAAUGAAUUUUCAGGAUAAAGACAAUUUUAUCAUGGAAAAAAAUGCUCUAUGAAGGGGAUCUUACAAUCACAUCACCCACUUUCAUAAUCAUCAAAGGCGUACGACAUCUAAGUCCAAUUAAUGGAAGAUGGAACCAUAUGGACCUCUGUUUCAGUGACGUGAGAAUACUCAUUCAAAAGGCCAAAGAGAGAAUGAGCAGGUUCCAAAUUUCUGGAAUGGAUUAUGGAUCGAUGAAGUGAAGACAAAGCUGAUGUGGUUCUGUGGCUCAAAGCAAAUGUACAGUCCUGGCUCAAGGAAAGAGGUCAAGCAGCUCUAAGUCAAGCUGCUGCUUUUGGCUCCUGUCAUUCUCAGUACCUGUUACUUGGGAUGGCUCAGCCUCUUUAGCUAGGACUAAAGGAUGUUGAUAACAUUCUCAACUAGGACUGAAGAAGUGCAUCUAACACUCUGGAAAGCAUAUUUGCCAAUUAUCAAAGCAUCUGAAUUUGUCUAAAAUAGAGACUUUCUUUGCUGCCAUCUCCUGCCUCUCACUUCACCUCCAGAGUUGUGUGUUAGAAAAUUCAGUAGCAAGGUGAGAGGGAGGAUUCAAUUACUUUGGGUGGAUGACUAUAUUGUACCUGAAAUUUCUUCUUGGUGGUGGCCAGAUAUAUCAGUAAACCCAGAGAUUACUGAGAUAUUUCAGUUCUCAAGCCUCCCGUAUAUAAUACAUUUAUAAUGAAUGAUCUUUCGUUAAAUUUUAAUAGCGUCUAAGUUGUAUAUAAAAUAAUAGCAUGAAAACUAUGUUCUGUGUGGAUAAACAUCAUUAGUGUAUAAGUAGGAAAACUUCUUUGGCUUCUUUUUCCCUCUAGGUUUUCUAAGAGCUCUGUAGAUCCUUUUCUGCUUAAUGGGAAGGCCAAUUUGCUUUCCUUUUUUACUUCCCUCUUGAUUCUCCUGUGCUUUUGACAUGUUGACUUUUUGGGAGGGGGGAUGGGGAAGCAAAAAUUGCUAAUUUUCUGUUGAGGUGAAAUCUUACCUGCCAUCUUCACAUGGUCUUUCAGGUGGUGCCUCAUGAGCCUCCAGUUCACAGGAAAUCCUUGGAAGAAUGCACAGUACAGGCCUACCUCCACAGCAGAGAAAGUUCCUUGCUUAGUCACAUCAGUGGGAUGAAUGCUGACAUGGUGUACUGACAGGUCUGUUUAAACCCAAAUGCUCCUGGCCAAUUGGCACUUGGUUACUUAGAAGCUGGCAUUUCCCUAGAUGAUAUAGCUUUGGGUUCUUCAGUUUGUUCUUCCAUUGAAGUGGAAGCUUCUGCCA